CAUUCUAACUGAAUGCAAUUAAGUAUAAACCAGCGAUCAUUAACAAUCAUAAUCAAUCAACAGCAACACAACAGUAUACGUCAGCAUGAUAUAACAAUAUCUUAUACAAUCCAACGAUGUCUAGCAUUUUCACAUAAACCAAGUAUUACUUAUACGAUCUUAUCACAUUAAUAACCUCAAUUUGCCAUAACCAGCUUCACAGUUCAUCAUUUAUAUCCUAUACAUCUU
rnacentral:lncRNA from 1 species